rnacentral:misc_RNA from 1 species
GAUGAAGAACGUAGCGAAAUGCGAUAAGUAGUGUGAAUUGCAGAAUUCAGUGAAUCAUCGAAUCUUUGAACGCACAUUGCGCCCCUUGGUAUUCCAUGGGGCAUGCCUGUUCGAGCGUCAUUUGUACCUUCAAGCUUUGCUUGGUGUUGGGUGUUUGUCCUGAGGGACUCGCCUUAAAGUAAUUGGCAGCCAGUGUUUGGUUUUGAAGCGCAGCACAAGUCGCGAUUCAAGGCUAUGCACCAGCUUCCACAAGCCUUUUUCACUUUUGACCUCGGAUCAGGUAGGGAUACCCGCUGAACUUAAGCAUAUCAAUAAGCGGAGGA